rnacentral:siRNA from 1 species
UUUUAGGCUUACCUUCUUGUACCU